GGUAAAAACCCAACAGCCUGGCCGGGGCCUUUGGCUUGCACUGCUCACGGAACCAAAAACAGCCUAGGUGGCUGAGAGAUGUGUGUGUGUGUGUGUGUGUGUGUGUGUGUGUGUGUGUGUGUGUGUGUGAAAUUAUUCAGAUACUGACAGAUGGACUGGUGGUCUCCUCUCUGCUGGCCUGGCACCCUCGACGUGGAAAGUCCCGCCUCGGGAGCUGGGUCACGGGCAGCUACAGUGAAGUACUGGAAAUAAAAGCCCCAGACAGCUAUAAUAGCAGUGAGUCACAGCAAACCAGGAGCCAUCAGGUGCUCAGGAGGGACACUGAAGCCAGGAGGCUGAGCUGAGCUAGCAGAGCUAGCCAGGAGCAGGACACCCCUGUGGCGAGAAGCACAAAGAGUGGAGUGUUCCAGUCAGAAAUAUCAGGUCACAGGCUUAUUAAACUUGGAUGACAGUAAACCGAUGACUAACUGGGUAAUUAAAACCACGAGCCUAGGCUCUCUGGGGGCCUGUUCUCUAGGCCAGUGCCCCUCAUCUUCCCCUCAGCAGAACGGCCUUUGUGGAUUUGAAACCCUCCAUGGCGACCCCACCUCCUCUCAAGGCUGUUCCUCUUGUUUGUCCGAAGCUUCAUCCCAUCUCCCUCCCCGUUCUGUAAGGAUGGAGGAAAUCGAACCCUUUAGCUGAAGCCCAGCCCAUACUCCCUCCUGCUUGACUAAAGUUACUAAGCCCUUCCUGCCAGGAGGCGCUUAGCUCUUUCUGUUCCAUGGAACUUUGGCUUCAAGCGCCCAGAGCCUCCCAGUUCCUCAUGAGAGUGAGUUGGGAACUUCAAAGUGACAAGCCCCAGCUGAGAAACCCCUGAGUUGCUUCAAAGACUGUCUUUUCCAGCCUGAAUCUUCUGGGGGAGUGUGUGUGUGUGUGUGGGGGGGGGGUGUUUCUCCCUCGCCUCUGAAAGCACAUAAGCAGUGAAGUUUACAAUGACUUCUA
rnacentral:lncRNA from 1 species